AUGCAUUUUAAUGAAUUAGUUUUGCAUCCGAAUUGGUUGAUUAUGUGUAUCAUGGGUUCGAGGCAAAUUCAUCAGGUAUGGUACUUUUUAGCGAACAUCAGGUUGUGGACAUAUGGGUAAAACACAUAAAGAAAAUAAAUGUAGUCCCAACUGUUGCGCCUCCACUGGUUUAGUAGAUGCAUUCCACAUUCAUCUCCAAGCAUCGAGGACGAUACUAUAUCUUAAGCUUGGGGAGGUUGUGAUUUGAGGUAAUUUUUUAUGUUCUCAUUGUAUCAUGUAUUACAUAGCAUUUUUUCUUUGCAUUGCAUUUAGGUUGUAUAUACAUGCAUUAGUAUUCAUUUUU
rnacentral:lncRNA from 1 species